GGAAUAACUGUUUCAGUGAAACUAAAAAGAAAUUUCUUAAUAGGUGAAAAUUCCUUUAAUUAAUAUAAUAGACGAGAAGACCCUAAGAAUUAUGUAUAAAAAUUAUUCAUUUAUAAAAUUUUUGUUGGGGCAACAGAUUUGGUUAAAUCAAUAAUUUUUAAAUUUGCACAUUAAGUAUAUUUAAUAAGAAUUUAAUUACCUUAGGGAUAACAGCAUUAUUAAUAUAUUAGAUUGUGACCUCGAUGUUGGACUAGGGACUUUUAAAGUAAGCCAUUUUAAAAGAUUGUUCUGUUCGAACAUAGAAC
rnacentral:rRNA from 1 species